rnacentral:rRNA from 1 species
UGAAUACGAGACGCUAAGGCGUCGAAGUAGUGUAUGUCAUACUUCCAAGAAAAGCUUGCACUGUCAUAGAUAAAAAACGCCUGUACCAUAACCGACACAGGUGGGUAGGUAGAGUAUACUAAGGGGCGCGAGAUAACUCUCUCUAAGGAACUCGGCAAAGUAACUCCGUAACUUCGGGAGAAGGAGUGCCUUAUUCGUAAGGUUGCAAUAACAAGAUCCAAGCAACUGUUUAUCAAAAACACAGGUCUCCGCUAAGUCGUAAGACGAUGUAUGGGGGCUGACGCCUGCCCAGUGCCAGAAGGUUAAAGAAGUUGGUUAGCAAUUGCGAAGCUGAUAACUGAAGCCCAGGUGAACGGCGGCCGUAACUAUAACGGUCCUAAGGUAGCGAAAUUCCUUGUCGGGUAAGUUCCGACCCGCACGAAAGGCGUAAUGAUUUGGAUACUGUCUCGGAGAGGGGCUCGGUGAAAUAGACUUGUCUGUGAAGAUGCGGACUACCUGCACCAGGACAGAAAGACCCUAUGAAGCUUUACUGUAACUUGAAAUUGAAAUUGGACUUUAUUCGCGCAGUAUAGGUGGGAGGCGUUGAUUAUAAUCUUGUGGGAUUAUUGGAGCCAUCAGUGAGAUACCACUCUUGUAAUGUUAGAUUUCUAACUUUGAAUCAUUAUCUGGUCAAAGAACAGUUUCAGGCGGGCAGUUUGACUGGGGCGGUCGCCUCCUAAACGGUAACGGAGGCGUACAAAGGUUCCCUCUGAACGGUUAGAAAUCGUAUCUAGAGUGUUAAGGCAUAAGGAAGCUUGACUGUGAGACCUACAAGUCGAGCAGGGACGAAAGUCGGUCUUAGUGAUCUGACGGUACUGAGUGGAAAGGCCGUCACUCAACGGAUAAAAGUUACUCUAGGAUAACAGGCUGAUCUCCCCCAAGAGUUCACAUCGACGGGGAGGUUUGGCACCUCGAUGUCGGCUCAUCGCAUCCUGGGGCGGUAGUACGUCCCAAGGGUUGGGCUGUUCGCCCAUGAAAGCGGUACGCGAGCUGGGUUCAGAACGUCGUGAGACAGUUCGGUCCAUAUCCGGUGUAGGCGUUAGAAUAUUGAGAGGAGCCUUCUUUAGUACGAGAGGACCGAGAAGGACAUACCUCUGGUGUACCAGUUAUCGUGCCAACGGUAAACGCUGGGUAGCUAUGUAUGGAGUGGAUAACCGCUGAAAGCAUCUAAGUGGGAAGCCCACCUCAAGAUAAGUAUUC